rnacentral:rRNA from 1 species
GAUGAACGCUGGCGGCGUGCUUAACACAUGCAAGUCGAACGAAGCAUUUCGGUCUUAAUCUUCGGAAGCGGACUGAUCUGACUGAGUGGCGGACGGGUGAGUAACGCGUGGGUAACCUGCCCUGUACAGGGGGAUAACAGUUAGAAAUGACUGCUAACACCGCAUAACCGCACAGGAAGGCAUCGUUCGGUGUGAAAAUAUUUAUAGGUACAGGAUGGGCCCGCGUCUGAUUAGCCAGUUGGCAGGGUAACGGCCUACCAAAGCAACGAUCAGUAGCCGGCUUGAGAGAGUGAACGGCCACAUUGGGACUGAGACACGGCCCAAACUCCUACGGGAGGCAGCAGUGGGGAAUAUUGCACAAUGGGGGAAACCCUGAUGCAGCGACGCCGCGUGAGUGAAGAAGUAUUUCGGUAUGUAAAGCUCUAUCAGCAGGGAAGAAAAUGACGGUACCUGACUAAGAAGCCCCGGCUAACUACGUGCCAGCAGCCGCCGUAA